GCUGCGGGCCCGUGGCCCCGUGUGCCCUGCGCUGCCCAGCUCUGUGCCCCGGCUCACGGUGUCCCUGGGGCUCUCUGGGCAGGGCAGCGCUGGCACUGGGGGCUGCCGUGGCACUGGUGGUAGCGGUGGCUGCUGGGGUAGUGGUGGCAGCCGUGGCAGCUGAGGCACCUGUGCCAGUGCUGGCAGCUGUGGCAGCUUGGGCAGUGGUGGCAGUGGUGGCUGUGGCUGCGGUGGAACCAGUGGCAGUGCUGGCAGUGGUGGCAGUUGUUGCUUCCUUGUCUGCCGUGGCAGUGGUGGCAGCCAAGGCUUAUCCAUCUUCAUCUUCCUGUUCUCGUCCCUCUCCAUCUUCCUGUUCUCGUCCCUCUCCAUCUUCCUGUUCUCGUCCCUCUCCUCUUCAGAAAUCUUCAUCUUCCUUUUCUCCUGUGUCAGUGGUGGCAGCGUUGGCUGCCGUGGCAGUGCUGCCAGUGGUGGCAGCGAUGACAGUGUUGGCUGCCUUGGCUGCCCUGGCAGUGGUGGCAGCAGUGGCAGCGAUGCCUGUCUUGGCAGUGGUGGCAGCGAUGGCAGUGUUGGCUGCCUUGGCUGUCGUUCCAGUGGUGGCAGCAGUGGCAGCAGUGACAUUGUUGGCUGCCUUGGCUGCCCUGGCUGUCGUGCCGGUGGUGACAUUCGUGGCCGCAGUGGCAGCAGUCGCUGCCUUGGCUGAGAUGGCAGCGUUGGCUCCCUGUCCCUCACCCUGGGCAGGCUCGGAGUUUGCCCCUGGCUGGGCUGGGAGUUGCGCUUGUCCAUCUCCGUCUUCUUCUCCUUCUAAAACUUCUCUCGUCCUCUGUGGCAGAGAGAUCCCGGGAGUUGCUUCCUCCUGCGAGAGGGGCUCUCCUGGGAGUGGGCACCCCCGGGCUCUGUGCCCCUCAAACCCCCGCGGGCAGGGCAGGGCUCUGUGAUGUCACAAGGGUCUCCGGGCACCCCCAUGUCCCGUGUCACAAAGGGCCCUGGAAGGUGCCCGUGUCACAAAG
rnacentral:lncRNA from 1 species